UUUAGCUUGGUUGCCUGGCUAGCUCCAAAACUGGUAUACAGGGACUUGGGACAACAUUCUGAAUGGAAGCCCGAAGGAAUUCAAAGUUAUGCUUACAUAGGAGGAGAUGGCGUGCAAUUGCCCAGAGAAAUCCUUGCAGCUUCAACAGCCCUUCCCAAGAAGCCACCCCUUAGAACAGUUACCAAAAAUACGUAAAAUAUUUCCAGCUAUGAAGAAUUCUUUUAGGCGGCGCCGUGACGCGCCUCGGGAACGGUCCUCGGGCGCGCACCGCUCUCUAACCCUCGGGCCUCAGAAGUCGGUGCCAGUGACUGGAGGCGGCGGCGGCGGCGAGCGGGUCCUUGUGGGCUACAAGAAUCCAGCAAAAAUGUCCCUCUAUCCGUCUCUUGAAGACUUGAAGGUAGACAAUGUAAUUCAGGCUCAAACUGCUUUUUCUGCAAACCCUGCCAACCCAGCAAUUUUGUCAGAAGCUGCUGUUCCUAUCUCUCAAGAUGGAAAUCUCUAUCCCAAACUAUAUCCUGAGCUCUCUCAAUACAUGGAUGGGUCUGACUUGAAAUGAAGAAGAAAUACGUGCAAAUGUGGCCGUGGUUUCUGGUGCAUCAAUUCAGAGGCAGUUGGUAGCAAGACCUUCCGGUAUGAUGUGUAUGGUGGUUCCUGUAACUGAUAAUGAUGCUGGAAUUCGGAGAGCAGAAAUUAAGCAAGGGAUUCGCGAAGUCAUUCUGUGUAAGGAUCAAGAUGGAAAAAUUGGACUCCGGCUCAGAUCAAUAGAUAAUGAUAUAUUUGUUCAGCUAAUCCAGGCUAAUUCUCCAGCCUCAUUGGUUGGUCUGAGAUUUGGGGACCAAGUAUUCCAGAUCAGUGGUGAAAACUGCAGGGUGGAGCUCUAAUAAAGCACACAAGGUGCUCAAACAGGCUUUUGGAGAGAAGAUUACCACGACAUGACAAUUCGUGACAGACCCUUUGAACGGAAGAUUACCAUGCAUAAGGAUAGCACUGGACAUGUUGGUUUUACCUUAAAAACGGA